rnacentral:lncRNA from 1 species
CUGGCAAUUUUGGAGUCGGCUCAUCCUCUGUAGUCCGUGGAUCCAAAUUUGAAUUUUGUCCACUCGAGUCGACUCGACUGUCCUGGAAGUCGACUCGAAUCUCAGAGCCCGAACUUCCAAUUCUCUGUCUUUUGGCUCAUCCAGUCUUGGAGUCGACUCGAACUUCCUUGGAGUCGACUCGGCUCUCAGUUUCCGAAAGUUGGUCUUCUGCCUUUUGACGUGAAGCUUGUCUUGGAGUCGACUCGAGCUGUCUGGGAGUCGACUCGAAUCUCAGAGGCAGUAACAUGGUCUUCUGUCUGUUGAUGAUCGCACAGUCUCGGAGUCGACUCGCGUACUGCGGGAGUCGACUCGAAUCUCAGAGUCCAUAAAACGCUCUCUGACUUUUUCUUUGUGUACCGCUGGGAGUCGACUCGCGUUCCACUGGAGUCGACUCGAAUCUCAGAGUCCAUAAAACGCUCUCUGACUUUUUCUGUGUGUACCGCUGGGAGUCGACUCGCAUUCCACUGGAGUCGACUCGAAUCUCAGACCUGAAAAACUGCUCUUCUGUCCUUCUGUCUGUUUUCAGUCGGAGUCGACUCGUC